UUAUAGCCCCGGCAGGAAUGGCAUCCUUUGCCUUUUUCCUUUAAAAAGGCAAAGAUAUAAUGGAUGACGGGACGAUGU
rnacentral:sRNA from 1 species